GAUGAAGAACGCAGCGAAAUGCGAUAAGUAAUGUGAAUUGCAGAAUUCAGUGAAUCAUCGAAUCUUUGAACGCACAUUGCGCCCCUCGGCACUCCGGGGGGCAUGCCUGUCCGAGCGUCAUUGCACCCCUCGAGCCCCCCGUGGCUUGGUCGUGAGCCGCGCCCGUGCCAGCCCCGUCCCCCCCCGUGCAGCGGGGGGCAGGGGCGCCGGGCGGGCUCGAAACGCAGUGGCGGCCCCCGGGCGACUUCCAGCGCGAUGACAUGUUUCGCUGCCGAAGCCUUCGCCCCGGGCGCCCGCCAGGCAACCCCCGUGCUUCUUACGCGGUUGACCUCGGAUCAGGCAGGGAUACCCGCUGAACUUAAGCAUAUCAAUAAGCGGAGGA
rnacentral:misc_RNA from 1 species